rnacentral:rRNA from 1 species
GAUGAACGCUGGCGGUAUGCUUAACACAUGCAAGUCGAACGGGGUGCAUAGUCACCUAGUGGCGGACGGGUGAGUAACGCGUGAGAAUCUGGCCUCAGGUCCGGGACAACCACGGGAAACGGUGGCUAAUACCGGAUGUGCCAUAUUGGUGAAAGAUUAAUUGCCUGAGGAUGAGCUCGCGUCUGAUUAGCUAGUUGGUGGGGUAAAGGCUUACCAAGGCGACGAUCAGUAACUGGUCUGAGAGGAUGACCAGUCACACUGGGACUGAGACACGGCCCAGACUCCUACGGGAGGCAGCAGUGGGGAAUUUUCCGCAAGCGGCGAAAGCCUGACGGAGCAAUACCGCGUGAGGGAGGAAGGCUCUUGGGUUGUAAACCUCUUUUCUCGGGGAAGAAGAAUGACGGUACCUGAGGAAUCAGCAUCGGCUAACUCCGUG